rnacentral:lncRNA from 1 species
UUCUAAGAAAUGUUUUGUUUCUAGAGAUGUUGUCUUUCAUGAAACUCACUUUCCCUUUAAAACUGCACCUCCAUCUUCCUCUCCUCCUCCUCCUAUUCCCUUUUCUGAUGACAUUCUUGACCAUUCUUUACGGCUACCAACUUCCAGUGAUUCUUCCCCUUCUUCUCCUCUUAGUUCCUCUCCUGUAUCCAUUCCUUCUCCCCUUUUCAAUCAUGAUACUUCUCCUCCUGCUUUACCUG